rnacentral:tRNA from 1 species
GCAUCGAUGGAUCAGUGGUAGAAUGCUCGCCUAUCACGCGGGCGGCCCGGGUUCGAUUCCCGGUCGAUGCA